rnacentral:misc_RNA from 1 species
GUGAAUCAUCAAAUUUUUGAACGCAAAUUGCACUCUCUUGUAUUCCGGGGAGUAUGCGUGCUUGAGGGUAUAAAUAUUACAAUCGUAAAAAGAUCUUUUUACGGAUCUGGGUUUUCCAAAAGAUCUAUUUUUGUUAAUCUAAAAUUUAUUAUAACAUUAAGUGAUAUUGGAAAUGUUUAUUUUUGAUUCAUUAACAAUUAUUACUAAAUUUGUGACGUUGAUAUUUUCCUAAUUUCAUAA